UACGUAGGUGACAAGCGUUGUCCGGAUUUACUGGGCGUAAAGAGCGCGCAGGCGGUCGGUCAAGUCGAGUGUGAAAGCCCCCGGCUCAACUGGGGAGGGUCAUUCGAUACUGAUCGACUCGAAGGCAGGAGAGGGAAGUGGAAUUCCCGGUGUAGUGGUGAAAUGCGUAGAUAUCGGGAGGAACACCAGUGGCGAAGGCGACUUCCUGGCCUGUUCUUGACGCUGAGGCGCGAAAGCUAGGGGAGCAAACGGG
rnacentral:rRNA from 1 species